rnacentral:lncRNA from 1 species
CUCUCUCUCUCUCUCUCUCUCUCUCUCUCCCUCUCUGUAAGUGUGUGUUGGUACUAGGGAUUGAACCCAAGCCUUCACAAUCAGUUACAUCUUCAACCUUUUAAAAAAUUUAUUUUAUCUUGAGAAAGGGUCUUGGUUAGUUGGUAGAGAAACUUAGCAAUUUAAUGAGGACCUGUUUCAAGAGAAAAAAAAAGGUUGGGGACAUGGCUCAGAGGUAGAGUGGCCCUGGGUUUGAUUCCCAGUAGCUCCCCGCAAAACACUGCUAUUUUAAGAACCCACAGACAUGAAGUCAGACAUUCAGGCAUUUUUAUGCAGUAGGAUUAUAUAAUUAAGAAAAAUAAAAUGUAUGCAUAAAAGCAGAGCGUGGGGGGGCGGGGAUUUAGCUCAGAGGUUUCGCUGCCUGCUGCGCAAGUGCAAGGACCCGAGUUCGAUCCCCGGUACCAAAAAAAAAGAAAAAGAAAAGCAGAGUGUGGACUAAAAAUGAAGUACUAAGUUGUAGAGGUGGGCUAUGGUGUACUCUAGCAUUACUAGCUUGCUGUGCUUAGGGUAUACAGGCUGAUGUAUUGAUACCAAACCUCACCAUUGUUCUUGUUUCCAUAGUAUCCACAGCUGUUUACAGGAAUUCUUUCCCCCUGGAAAGGUCUCCUGCUUUAUGGCCCUCCAGAACUGGGGCAAAUGGCAGCUAAGCAACCACUCCCUCCUCCCAGUGUGAGACUGACUUCUGUUUAUAGGUAAGGGAAUGUAGUAUAAGUGCCUGUUCAUAUUUCUCCUGUAUCUUAGGUACAGGAAAGACUUUACUCAGCCAAAGCUGUGGCCACUGAAUGCAAAACUGACCUUCUUUAACAUUUCUGCAUCUACCAUUGUCAGCAAAUGGAGAGGGGAUUCAGAAAAACUUGUUCGGGUAGGAAUUCUUAAUUUUUAUUUAAAAAAAGUAAGUUCUAGCAGAAUAUGGGGGUAUGAAAUUAUGUUAGAACUUACUUGUUUUGGGAUGAUAUAAAUGUUUGACUUUUACAGUGGGUCUUGAUUACCAAAAGCCUGGGAAAUGGAUUGACUACUGUAUGUGGAUAUUAAUCAUGCCCCCAUCAGCAAACCACAAUCUCUUUUCUUUGGAAUUUUACCAACAGCCCUUUUUUGAUUCACUAACUUAGAAAUGGAAGCCAGGG